rnacentral:rRNA from 1 species
GACGAACGCUGGCGGCGUGCUUAACACAUGCAAGUCGAACGGAAAGGCCCUUCGGGGUACUCGAGUGGCGAACGGGUGAGUAACACGUGGGUGAUCUGCUCUGCACUUUGGGAUAAGCCUGGGAAACUGGGUCUAAUACCGAAUAGGACCACGCGCUUCAUGGUGUGUGGUGGAAAGCUUUUGCGGUGUGGGAUGGGCCCGCGGCCGAUCAGCUUGUUGGUGGGGUAAUGGCCUACCAAGGCGACGACGGGUAGCCGGCCUGAGAGGGUGACCGGCCACACUGGGACUGAGGUACGGCCCAGACUCCUACGGGAGGCAGCAGUGGAGAAUAUUGCACAGUGGGCGCGAGCCUGAUGCGGCGGCGCCGCGUGCGGGAUGACGGCCUUCGGGUUGUAAACCUCUUUCAAUAGAGACGAAGCGCAAGUGACGGUACCUAUAGAAGAAGCACCGGCCAACUACGUG